rnacentral:tRNA from 1 species
GGUUCUAUGGCGUAAUGGUUAGCACUCUGGACUUUGAAUCCAGCGAUCUGAGUUCAAAUCUCGGUAGGACCA